GACAGUCAAACAGGAACAGAACUGUUUAAUGAGCACCAAAAAACUUUCUUUUAUGCAGGUUACCACCCACGUGGUCUUGUGGAAUAGCCAAACAACAACGUACAAUACAGUUAAACACUCCCAUUCAUUCCAGCAAAAUCCUCCCCUCUGCCUGUGAUAGAAUUACAGUACACAAUGGGCUAAUGUAAUUAUCACAGGCAGGAAAAUACAGUUUUUAUACAAUUCUUAUAAUUUUAAUAGUAUACAUGCAAUAUUAAUAAUACAUAUUCUAAAUCAGCAUACUUCAUAUACAAACAUAUCCAAAAAUCAUACAAUUUGGUCCAGUGGUUCAAAGAUAGACUGAGGAGGGACAAAGCAGCCAGUUUCAACUGGUCUGGCAGUGUUCCUGGGACAACGCCCUGCUGGAGAACAAUGGACAGGAAAAGGGGGAGGGGAAGAGGUACAUUCUCCCAUGGAAUCAAAGGGGCAGAAACAGUGCAAUAAAAUCCAAUAUGCCCAAAUAAUGUUUUUAAAGGGCAAACCCUCCCAGGGGCCAUAGUCACAAGAGGCUGGCAAUUAGUCCUCUCCAGGCACAAGUGGCAAAGGGCACUUUGUCACAGCAUAUAUUCCAGUUAUGAUCUGUGAUCACUAAUAUAGGAUGUUUGAAUCUCUACAAUAGAUGUCUCCAUUCUUUCAAUGUCAUUAUGAUAGCUAGGAGCUCUCUAUUCCCUAUGUCAUAAUUCCUUUCUGAGUGUGCCAAUUUUUUAGAAUCAAACGGCAUGGGUGUAAUGAUUAAUCUGGUGUUUUUCUUUGUGACUUGCUUCAUGGUACCAUGCCAGUCUAUCCACUCUCUGAAAAGGAAAACAUGAUAAUCGAGGAAUACACAAAAGAAUCAUUAGCCAAGGAUUUUACUUGUAGAUUCUUGAGUCCAGUAGAAUUAGUUUUUGUCUCACAUCCAUCUGUUUUUGUUUACAUCAUUAUCAUUGCUACUAAAUUUCUACCUGAAUAAUUAAAAUUUAUUAUCAUCACUCUCUUCAUUAGCAUUUAUCUUUACUUAUUUACCUUAAUUGUGAUGACUUGUUAAUGUAAUAAAUCUCAACAUGAAAGUAGGAUUGUCCAAAUGUUUCCCAAACAUUUGUUCUGACCAAUCCGUAUUCCUUAGUACACUUCUUCAACUAACUAAACUAAAAUAAACAUUGGAUCAUACUGCCUAGAAACUCUUAUCCCUAGUCCAUGUCUUACAAACUCAAGGUAAUCAUAACAUCGUAUAACCACUUAUUCAUUGGAUACCGUCCUAUCCAGAAAACUAUUCUUCCUAGCCCAAAACAUUAUAGACUAAGGUUAAAUAUAAUUGUGUACUAUACUCUUAACUAAACUACAAUUCUAAUUCAAUUCCUCUUGGAUCUCUGAACUCUUAUAUCCAAGAUAUUCUUUAUGUAUAACAUUUCUUAAUAUUAAUCAAUAUACAUUAUCCUUACUUAGUUUUCUUCUUUUUGUUACCAUAGUUUGUUUUACUUCACCUCAAUAUUAACAAAUUACUCAUUCAUGUGAAUCUAUGAAAUACUAUUGAACUCAAUUUUUGCAGCAUUACGUGUACAUGAUCUUUAUUUUAUCGAUUUCAUGUUUUCAUCUACCUCUUAUACUACU
rnacentral:lncRNA from 1 species